rnacentral:rRNA from 1 species
UACAGGGGGUGCAAACGUUGCUCGGAAUUAUUGGGCGCAAAGCGCGCGUAGGCGGUGACUCAAGUCGGAUGUGAAAGCCCUUGGCUUAACCGAGGAAGUGCAUCCGAAACUGAGUCGCUAGAGUACGAUAGAGGGUCGCGGAAUUCCCGGUGUAGAGGUGAAAUUCGUAGAUAUCGGGAGGAACACCGGUGGCGAAGGCGGCGACCUGGGUCGAUACUGACGCUGAGGCGCGAAAGCGUGGGGAGCAAACAGG